AAAAUAAUGGCGUAUGAGGAAGAAAUGCGUGUUACAAAUGAGCAUGCACAAAGAUUUGAAUAAUUUAUGGCCUCACAGACGAACCAAGGUUGUCGUGGAUGAUAUGGAGAAGUUAGUGGAUAUGGAAGAGUUGACGAGGACGAGGAGGAAGAGAAAGAUAAUUGAAAUGUUCGAAUAUGAAACUUUGUAUUUUUAAAUUUAAGUUUGGUGGAUAUGGAGACUAUUUAUUUUUAUUUCAACUUUAAUCAUGAAUUUUUUAAUUUUUU
rnacentral:lncRNA from 1 species